rnacentral:rRNA from 1 species
AUACGAAAGGUGCAAGCGUUGUUCGGAUUUACUGGGCGUAAAGAGAUCGUAGGUGGUUUAUUAAGUCGGAUGUGAAAUCCCGGGGCUCAACCUCGGAACUGCAUUCGAUACUGGUAGACUAGAGUUUGGGAGGGGUAAGCGGAAUUCCGUGUGUAGCAGUGAAAUGCGUAGAUAUACGGAGGAACACCUGAGGCGAAGGCGGCUUACUGGACCAAUACUGACACUGAGGAUCGAAAGCGUGGGUAGCAAACAGGAUUAGAAACCCGAGUAGUCC